UUGAGGUGGUGGGACGACAUCCAAGCUGAGAUAUCUGCCAGGCACGCAGAGAUGCGUGUCGCCACCUGGGUGUCAGCAGGGGGAAGUAGUUGAGUCAUCUGUCCUAGUGCUUAGUCCACUGUGCUAGCAGGGGGUGGGCCACCAUUCUUGUUUUUUGCACAUAUUUAAAGCUGUGCAGGCAAAGUUCGUAGAUUAGAAAUGUAAUUAGUUAAGACUGUUGGAAAACUAGUCGCAACCAGGAUCCGAACUGGCGACCUUGGCAGGUUGCAACCCCGCGUUUAACGCCCCCCAUCCACCUCCAACCUAAAAAGUUAAUUUUCUUUGUCUCUCAGCUGUAAACUCCACUGAGCUUUCAUCCAACCAAUCAAUUUGGCCACUGAGCUUUCAUCCAACCAAAUGUUAAGCGGGCAACAAUCAGAUUGAAUCCAGGCCUUUAUGUCAUGAAGAAGAAACGGUACAGCGUGUUGUCUAUGACUUUAUUGUGUGUCCGUCAGAGAGGCCUCAGGAAAAGGUCCUGUGUGUAACACGCUCAGUAAUGAAGAAAGCUCAGAGGCCAGCGGUUUACCAACAAACCAGGAACUAGAGAGCUACAGGAUGUGUAGGCUUUUGUUCUAGCCCUGCACUAACACACCCGAUUCACCUAAUCAAAGUCUUGAUGAACAGUUUAUUAGCUGAGUAGUAUAUAGGUAUGCCGGCACAAAGAGUUUCUAUGGGAGUGGGGUGUUUGUCUAGCCUGGUCCCAAAUCUGCUAUUAUGUCAACUCCUUGUCAUGUCGUUUUGGAAUGAUAGCACAAAGAUCUGGGACCAGGCUAGUGUUUGUCUGAGUAAACAUUGCAGAUUCUACGAGUUCUUUAGUUGAAUCAGGAGUGUUUGUGCAGGUCUGGAGCAAAACCCUGCACAACCUGUAUUUCUCCAGGACCAGGGUUGCCAUUGGUGACCACUGUUGUAAAUGAAUAUAGGGAACAACCACAGCAGAUCAUACGACAGCUAUUAUUUAAAACACUUUUUCACACACAUGGUGUGGCAGACAAAAUAAAGAAGAUAUUUACACAUACAGCCCCAUUCUAGGGUUACACAUUUCCGGUACCUUUCCCGAAAUUCCCAAUGUUUUCCAGACAUCCCCGUUGGAGUAUUACCAGAUUCCAGGGAAUUUGUCAUUACAGGAAUAUUCCAACUGGGAUUUCUGGAAAACCUGUGAAUUCUGGGAAAGUUACCGGAAUUUUUGGUACCCUAAGCCGUUCACCUUUUGUAUUACUGCUCAGAACCAAUUGGUACAGUAUUAUCAUAAAUGACAGCGAGUGUUUGGCAAGGACUUCACUUCAGUCAGCCAUCUUGUGUCUCAAUGUUCCAAAAUGGCUUCCUUUCCUCAUCUCCUCUCCUUUAUCAGGGCGGAAAGGACAAGGAAAGGAAGCAAGAUAAUUGAGACACCGACAGUCUCAUCUUCAUUGUAGUUUUGGCGAGACACAGAAAAAGUUUUUUUCCGGCAAAACAAACUACAAAAACUACAACUCCCAGGUCACCCCUCUCUCACUGGGCCAGGAAAGAGGAAGUGGCAUCACUUCUUAGCGGGUACGCCCUCUGAGUAGUCCUCCAGUACUCCGGC